rnacentral:rRNA from 1 species
GCAGUCGAACGGUAACAGGUACUUCGGAUGCUGACGAGUGGCGGACGGGUGAGUAAUGCGUAGGAAUCUGUCUUUUAGUGGGGGACAACCCAGGGAAACUUGGGCUAAUACCGCAUGAGCCCUGAGGGGGAAAGCGGGGGAUCUUCGGACCUCGCGCUAAGGGAAGAGCCUACGUCUGAUUAGCUAGUUGGUAGGGUAAAGGCCUACCAAGGCGACGAUCAGUAGCUGGUCUGAGAGGACGACCAGCCACACUGGGACUGAGACACGGCCCAGACUCCUACGGGAGGCAGCAGUGGGGAAUUUUUCGCAAUGGGGGCAACCCUGACGAAGCAAUGCCGCGUGGAUGAAGAAGGCCUUCGGGUUGUAAAGUCCUUUCGUGGGGGACGAAAAGGCGGGUCCUAAUACGAUCUGCUGUUGACGUGAACCCAAGAAGAAGCACCGGCUAACUCCGUGCCAGCAGCCGCGGUAAUACGGGGGGUGCAAGCGUUAAUCGGAAUCACUGGGCGUAAAGGGUGCGUAGGCGGUACGUUAGGUCUGUCGUGAAAUCCCCGGGCUCAACCUGGGAAUGGCGGUAGAAACCGGCGCACUAGAGUAUGGGAGAGGGUGGUGGAAUUCCAGGUGUAGCGGUGAAAUGCGUAGAGAUCUGGAGGAACAUCAGUGGCGAAGGCGGCCACCUGGCCCAAUACUGACGCUGAGGCACGAAAGCGUGGCGAGCAAACAGGAUUAGAUACCCUGGUAGUCCACGCCCUACACGAUGAAUACUAGAUGUCUGGUACCUAGCGUACUGAGUGUCGUAGCUAACGCGAUAAGUAUUCCGCCUGGGAAGUACGGCCGCAAGGUUAAGACUCAAAGGAAUUGACGUGGGCGCGCACAAGCGAUGGAGCAU